CUCACUAAUGGCCAGUAACAGUUUUCUUUGUCAUUUUCCUAGUCAUUACCUCCUCUGAAUGAACUCCCGAAUAAGCUUCUGAGACAUCGUGACUGGAAUAUCAAGCGAGACUAUUCCGAUUCAAACCGCUGUACCUAGAUAUCUGGCCUUUCCUCUCUCACACCAUUUUCAUUUAUGAAAAAUAAUACUCUUCCAUUACAGAGCCUGAUGAGCUUAGGAGAUAUUUUACUCUUAAACAGAUCAGAAGCAAUAUUUAUUUUUCACAGCUGUCUUCUGUUUUGCUGCUGACACAUAAUACACAGUAGCUCCGCUCUCCGCGGCUGUUGAUGGUAUUUAUUGGGGGUUUCUCUGCCUAGAUGGCUGUAAUUUUUUCCUUUUCUUUGGUUUGGAUGUUUAAGUCCAUUUGCCCUUUUUGCCGUCUGUGGAGAAUUGCUGAUUACACAAGGCUGCCUGAAUCUAAUUUUCCCUGCUGAGUGUUUGAAAAAGCUUUAGCUGAAAGCUGGCACGUGGGCAGCCUCCAACUUCUCAAAAGGAAACAGUCCAGAAUUCCACAGCCAAGCCUAUUUGAAUUCAGAGGGCAUACGAUUUACAGAGGCAUCUUAAUCCCUCUGUAAGCAUCAAAGAAUGCAGGGGAAAAAAAAUCAAUGUCAGAAUCAUUACCUCAACUGUCAGAUGAUGAAAGAAACCCUGUUCCAAGACAAUUU